rnacentral:rRNA from 1 species
GGGGAGGGGGGGCGGCGGGCCUAACACAUGCAAGGCGGGCGGAGGAAGGGAGCGUGCUCCUGGAUUCAGCGGCGGACGGGUGAGUAAUGCCUAGGAAUCUGCCUGGGAGUGGGGGAUAACGUCCGGAAACGGGCGCUAAUACCGCAUACGUCCUGAGGGAGAAAGUGGGGGAUCUUCGGACCUCACGCUAUCAGAUGAGCCUAGGUCGGAUUAGCUAGUUGGUGGGGUAAAGGCCUACCAAGGCGACGAUCCGUAACUGGUCUGAGAGGAUGAUCAGUCACACUGGAACUGAGACACGGUCCAGACUCCUACGGGAGGCAGCAGUGGGGAAUAUUGGACAAUGGGCGAAAGCCUGAUCCAGCCAUGCCGCGUGUGUGAAGAAGGUCUUCGGAUUGUAAAGCACUUUAAGUUGGGAGGAAGGGCAGUAAGUUAAUACCUUGCUGUUUUGACGUUACCAACAGAAUAAGCACCGGCUAACUUCGUG